GACGAACGCUGGCGGCGUGCUUAACACAUGCAAGUCGAACGGAAAGGCCCUGCUUGCCGGGUGCUCGAGUGGCGAACGGGUGAGUAACACGUGGGUGAUCUGCCCCUUACUUUGGGAUAAGCCUGGGAAACUGGGUCUAAUACUGGAUAGGACCAUGCUGUAGAUGGUGUGGUGGAAAGAUUAGUUUCGGUAAGGGAUGAGCUCGCGGCCUAUCAGCUUGUUGGUGGGGUAAUGGCCUACCAAGGCGUCGACGGGUAGCCGGCCUGAGGGGGUGGACGGCCACAUUGGGACUGAGAUACGGCCCAGACUCCUACGGGAGGCAGCAGUGGGGAAUAUUGCACAAUGGGCGCAAGCCUGAUGCAGCGACGCCGCGUGGGGGAUGACGGCCUUCGGGUUAUAAACUCCUUUCAGCCAUGACGAAGCCCUUGUGGUGACGGUAGUGGUAGAAGAAGCACCGGCUAACUACGUG
rnacentral:rRNA from 1 species